CUUUCCCUCUCUCUCUCCCUCUUUUCCACCCUUCCUCCCUUCCUUCCUUCCCUCCUUUGCUUUUUCUCAGCUCAGAUGCAAUGUGUUUUCUCACAGUAUUGGUGAAGGUUUUUCUCCCAGCUGGUCGAUUCACUGAAGGGAUGCUCUCCAAACCUGCAGCCCUGGUUCAAGCAAUGGGAACGCAAAGCUCUCUGAGCAGCAGCUGGGGCAGGCAAUGGGAGAGCCAGAGGCCGCAGUGCGCUGGGUACUGAGGAUAACUUUAGGAGUCGGUGCCACCCAGCAGAGCUCAGCACCAGUGCUGCACGGCUGCCUGGAGCUGAGGAAACUCCUGUUACUCCUUCGUGCCCCGCGCUCACUGCAGACUCAGCACCUUGCAACAGCAAACUCAGCAUUUUCCAAUAUCUGUGCGCUUCUUGUCUGGCCUCCAGCAAAGAUGGGAGCCACGAGGUGCUCCUGGCGAGGGAAUGCCACAGGCAGGGCAGAUUCCCUCCUGCUGCUCCUGCUGGCUCUGAGGUCCUGGGGUGCUCCUGCCCAUGCGUGCCUGGGAGCUCUGCUCCGUCCCUGUGCACCUUGCAGCUGGGUGCUGCCCUUCCAUGCAGGGUGUGCACCGAAGACCUUUGUGCCAAUGAUGUGGCAGGGAGUGCAACCAUUGCCGUGUAUUGUUACGUUGUUCUUCCUAUGUUUCUCAGAACGUCAGCUAAAUAUUUACCUGCUUGAAACUUCUCAGGAUGUCUGUGAAGGGUGCCGUUACCAGCCUUGAAACAGAGGGAAAAACUAAGAAUGAGUCCAGGAGGUGCAGGAAAGAAUGAAAUGAGCAUCUCCCAAUGAAAAAUCCAGUUUCUUCAGCAACCUCCAGAAGGUGCUGAAAUACUUUGACAUUUUCCAAGACUCUUUCACACCUUUCAAACAAGCUUGUCACAGUUUCUCAGAGCAUUAUGAAUUUGGUGAAGCUGCAUGUUCUGAGAUCCCAGCUCCUCUCUAGUUUCACCCCUGCUUUGCUUCAACUUGGCAUUCUCCCAUGUUCUGGUCGACUAGGAAAUGGCAUUAUCUCACUCUAAUUAAAUCAGCUUUUCAUCUUCAGCUGGAGUUUGCUUCAGUGUUGGCCACGCCUGCCUCCGCUGCUCCGGUCAGUGUGAUUGAAUCACUGUGCCUCAUGCAGAGUGGUUGCUGUGCCUUGCUGGUGGAGUUGUUUUUUGAGGCCAAGUACCAGCUGGGAGGAGCUGGUGAUGCUGGGGGUUGCUUUCCUUCCACUGUGCGCUUGAUGCUCCAUCCAUCACUGCCCUGCAGUGUGGUCCCAUCAGCCUCGUGCUUUCCAGGCUUGCUGAAAGGCAGAUUCUCCUUUCCUAUGAAAGAGAACAGCCCCACUGAUGGGACACUGCUGCUCUCCUCUCCUGCUCUGCUCUCACCACGAGCAGCGCGUGCUUCCUUCACGCCUGUCACAUUCUGGCCCCAGUGUGUGCCAUGCAGAGCAAAGCCCCACAUCCACGAACGUGUCAGAGGACAGACAGGCACCAGAUGAAAGCAGCUCCCAGUGCUUGCAGAGUAUUUUUUCCCAGUGACACCUCCCGAGGAACGUGCUCAGUAAUAGCUCAGCAUCCCCAGCAGGGGAGGGGACAAGAGGUGACGAGCCAAGCUGCUCUAUUUCUGCAGGUUCCUGGCCACCAUCACAUUAACUCUUUGCACACAGAUGCUUGCAAGGAGCCUUGCACCACAGCAGCCCUGCAGCAGGUGGCAUCGAGGUGUCCUCGUGGGCUGCCUCAACCCCAACAGAAAUUCCUGAGGUGGAAGGAGCUGCACUGAUGUGUUGGGAAGGAGGGGAAGAGCUCUUCCCGCAGCCCACAGGCGCUGUCACAUGCUCGAGAUAGGCUCCUGGAGGAUGUGAUUCAGAAAUAAGUUGAUGUGUGUUAUUUUCCUUUGAUUCAUAAGCAAAACCCAAGAGGGAGUGAGGACUCCAGCACGGAUUUGCUGGCCCAGCAUGGCAGUGUGGGUGUCAGAUGGGCACAGUGUGCGGCUCAGCUCGAGGAUUUGGAGAACCACAGACAAGAAGCACAAAGUUCUGCUUGCUGCCUCACAAAGCCAAGAACCACCUUUAAUUUAGCACUCAGGCUCUGCUGUACAUUUUGUAUAAGGCUUUUAAAGAGACACGGGUGCUGUUUCACAGUGUUACCCAUACUAA